UGUGAACGAUGAAGGUCUUCUGAUUGUAAAGUUCUUUUAUUUAGGAAAAAAAGCUUGAUAGGAAAUGAUUAAGCCUUGAUUGUACUAAAUGAAUAAGUGACAGCUAACUAUGUGCCAGCAGCUGCGGUAAAACAUAGGUCACGAGCAUUAUCCGGAUUUAUUGGGCGUAAAGGAAGCGUAGGCGGACAAAUUGAUCUAUUGUUAAAGGCACUUGCUCAACGAGUUGUUUGUGAUAGAUAUCGUUUGUCUAGAAUUAGUUAGGAGAUACUGGAAUUCAAUGUGUAGCGGUGGAAUGCGUAGAUAUAUUGAGGAACACCGGAGGCUAAGGCGAGUAUCUAGGACAUAAUUGACGCUGAGGCUUGAAAGCGUGGGGAGCAAAUGGGAUUAGAUACCCCAGUAGUCCACGCCGUAAACGAUGGGUAUUAGGUAUUUGGUCUAGGACUGAGUGCUGUAGCUAACGCGUUAAAUACCCCGCCUGGGUAGUAUAUAUGCAAAUAUGAAACUCAAAGAAAUUGACGGGGACCUGAACAAGUGGUGGAGCAUGUUGCUUAAUUCGAUAAUACACGAAAAACCUCACCGAGGCUUGUAAUCUUUUGCAAAGCUAUAGAAAUAUAGUGGAGGUUAUCAGAAUGACAGGUGGUGCAUGGCUGUCGUCAGCUCGUGUCUUGAGAUGUUUGGUUAAGUCCCGUAACGAGCGCAACCCUUCUCUUUAGUUAAAUAGUUCUAAAGUGACUGAAUCGUAAGAUAUAGGAAGGCUGGGGCCAAGUCAAGUCAUCAUGCCCUUUAUGCCUCGGGCUGCAAACGUGCUACAAUGGUAGGUAUAAUGUGUCGCCAUCUAGAAAUGGGGAGCUAAUCACCGAAAACCUAUCCCAGUCCGGAUAAAAGGCUGCAAUUCGCCUAUUUGAAGUUGGAAUCACUAGUAAUCCUGUGUCAGCUAUAUCAGGGUGAAUGCGUUCCCAGGUCUUGUACACACCGCCCGUCAAACUAUGGGAGA
rnacentral:rRNA from 1 species